AACGAACGCUGGCGGCAUGCCUAACACAUGCAAGUCGAACGAGACCUUCGGGUCUAGUGGCGCACGGGUGCGUAACACGUGGGAAUCUGCCCUUUGCUUCGGAAUAACAGUUAGAAAUGACUGCUAAUACCGGAUGAUGUCGAAAGACCAAAGAUUUAUCGGCAAAGGAUGAGCCCGCGUAGGAUUAGGUAGUUGGUGGGGUAAAGGCCUACCAAGCCGACGAUCCUUAGCUGGUCUGAGAGGAUGAUCAGCCACACUGGGACUGAGACACGGCCCAGACUCCUACGGGAGGCAGCAGUGGGGAAUAUUGGACAAUGGGCGAAAGCCUGAUCCAGCAAUGCCGCGUGAGUGAUGAAGGCCUUAGGGUUGUAAAGCUCUUUCACCAGGGAUGAUAAUGACAGUACCUGGAGAAUAAGCUCCGGCUAACUCCGUG
rnacentral:rRNA from 1 species